rnacentral:rRNA from 1 species
UGCAAGUCGAACGGUAGCACAAGAGAGCUUGCUCUCGGGUGACGAGUGGCGGACGGGUGAGUAAUGUCUGGGAAACUGCCUGAUGGAGGGGGAUAACUACUGGAAACGGUAGCUAAUACCGCAUAACGUCGCAAGACCAAAGAGGGGGACCUUCGGGCCUCUUGCCAUCAGAUGUGCCCAGAUGGGAUUAGCUAGUAGGUGGGGUAACGGCUCACCUAGGCGACGAUCCCUAGCUGGUCUGAGAGGAUGACCAGCCACACUGGAACUGAGACACGGUCCAGACUCCUACGGGAGGCAGCAGUGGGGAAUAUUGCACAAUGGGCGCAAGCCUGAUGCAGCCAUGCCGCGUGUAUGAAGAAGGCCUUCGGGUUGUAAAGUACUUUCAGCGGGGAGGAAGGUGUUGUGGUUAAUAACCGCAGCAAUUGACGUUACCCGCAGAAGAAGCACCGGCUAACUCCGUGCCAGCAGCCGCGGUAAUACGGAGGGUGCAAGCGUUAAUCGGAAUUACUGGGCGUAAAGCGCACGCAGGCGGUCUGUCAAGUCGGAUGUGAAAUCCCCGGGCUCAACCUGGGAACUGCAUUCGAAACUGGCAGGCUAGAGUCUUGUAGAGGGG